AUCUAAUAGAUGACUGUUAAAAUCUAUGGACAAAUUAUAAUGUCUUCAAGAAAACUUGAAGGAAAAAAACAUGUCACUAUUUGGAACACAGAAGAUGAAUUUGUGUAUAAAUGCUAAAAUGGCUUUCUCUCUGGAUCAGAUGAAUUACAGAAACAAAAGGACUCAUUAGUAAUCACCUCCACAUAAGACACAGAAAAAUAGAAAUCUGAUGAGUAAAGCAAGGCACGGAGAGAUUAAAUAACUUAUCCAACAUCACAAAACUAUAUAAAGGGUCAUCAACGACAAAGAAGCCUGGGCACAGGCACUUGCUGAGAACCUCCAAACCAGGGUGACCUUACCAGACAGUGAGACUACAGGCACCACCUUUCUAAGGAGUUUCACCUCCCAAGCCUGAACCACUCUGCAUUAUUUCCUGAAAGAGACCCCACAUUUAUGGGAUGACCAUCCUUCUCUGAUCCCAACUGCUGCCAGAGCAACUGUGUCUUAUCGUGUCAUAUGAGGGAGGGGAAUACUAUUUCCGAAGAGAUGGUCAGUAAAAUUAAGAAGUGGGCAUGUUUUGAGAGCCUUCAGGAAUGAAGUUUUCUAAAGUGAGAAAAUUGGUUAUAGGUGGCUAGAGGUAGAGGAUUUAACCUCCUUUCCUUAUUAGUAUUCCCUUUUCUUCUUUUUACCACUUUAGUAUCCCCACAACACUCCUUGAGGAAGUAAUACUCAAAAACAACACGUUCAUGUUAUCAGCUUGCCUCUGUGAAAGCAACCUGUGUAGAUGCCAUAGCUCUCUCUAGAAAGACAGACUGGCACUGGAGCUGCUCUAGUGUCUGUGCUGUUUGGGUCUCUGUUCACCCAAAGGAAGCAAUGACUUAAGGAAGCAAGGUUUCAUCAUGGCAUGACUGACAAUGGGGUUCUGGACGGUUCAUCUUAGGGAUGGUUUGUGGAAACCUCCAAGGAGUUUACACAUUUCUUCUAUGUCUAAAAAGGCGUGUGGGGCACCUGGGUGGCUCAGUCAGUUAAAAUCCCAACUCUUGGUUUCAGCUCAGGUUAUGAUCUCAUGGUUCAUGAGUCUGAGCCCCACAUCAGG